AGUGAACGCUGGCGGUAGGCUUAACACAUGCAAGUCGAACGGCAGCACAGUAAGAGCUUGCUCUUACGGGUGGCGAGUGGCGGACGGGUGAGGAAUACAUCGGAAUCUACUUUUUCGUGGGGGAUAACGUAGGGAAACUUACGCUAAUACCGCAUACGACCUACGGGUGAAAGCAGGGGAUCUUCGGACCUUGCGCGAUUGAAUGAGCCGAUGUCGGAUUAGCUAGUUGGCGGGGUAAAGGCCCACCAAGGCGACGAUCCGUAGCUGGUCUGAGAGGAUGAUCAGCCACACUGGAACUGAGACACGGUCCAGACUCCUACGGGAGGCAGCAGUGGGGAAUAUUGGACAAUGGGCGCAAGCCUGAUCCAGCCAUACCGCGUGGGUGAAGAAGGCCUUCGGGUUGUAAAGCCCUUUUGUUGGGAAAGAAAAGCAGCAGGUUAAUACCCCGCUGCUCUGACGGUACCCAAAGAAUAAGCACCGGCUAACUUCGUG
rnacentral:rRNA from 1 species